CAAAACGUUUUAUUUUUUUUCUUCAAGUGCUACCAGCUAGCAGCUUCCCGUUCCCACGACAGUAGUCUACGUAACCGGAACAGACCGAGAUUUUUUCCUGCCAAGAACUAUCAACUCGACCGAAUUCUGUCGCUACUACAACAACAACACCAACAGCAGCUGAGGAGUUUUUAUGUGGCUCUAUACUUUGGCGAUAAUCGCGGUUGUUUCUCGAGUGAAAAAUUACAAUAUUUGGCAAAAGGAGCAUCAUUCAUUUAAUUAGGAUUUGCCUUUCUGGUAGGCUGCACUACUAUCGGAGCGAUCGUUAAAGAAUUAUGCCAGGUUGUGCACCCUGAGCACAUUCCUCAUCCAACUGAAAAUUUAUUUAAAUCGGUUACUGACUAUUGGAAAUUAUGGGACUUCUCCAUUUGAAUCGGAGUUAUUGAUGAAAAACACAGUAGGAUCAAAUGUCCAGCAACUUUGGUUCCAUGUAUUGCAAUUACAAAAAUGUUUUCAAUAAUAUGUAUUACAAGCCAUAGUUGACGACAACAGCAAAUACAAGUGGGCGGAUAAUGAAAGCAAAGUGAUUGCGGUACAGCUCUUCUCAAAUAUAUUAGCUUUUGAAACAAAACGAUGAUACAAAGCUGGAUCAAUAUAAACUUGCCGUUCAUUUUUCUUGGUGCUGAAGCAUACCCGGUGUCAAAAUGCUUAUUUAAAUGAGCAACUUUCAAGAGCAAGGAAAUGCAUUGAACGUGCAUUUGGAAUAAUAAAUGGUAAAUUUAAUACACUAUGGAAACCGUUUGACAGAAACAGGACUUUCGGAAAUAGAUGUUAAAAGUAUUGGUGUUCAUUACAAAAUUAAUAUAAGGCUAAUAAUAUAUAAAUUUGUAUGCCAAAAUAAACUAGAAUAAAUUGAUUUAAUUUUUA